GGGGUGGGGCCUCCAGAAGUUCACGCCAUUUGCAGCGGGGAGGAGCCUGUUCCUGUGUGGCGACCUGGGCUUCAAUCUGUGAGGCGGGAAACCUGCUAGCAGGACUCUUGCUUUGUGGUCUCCUGUGAGAAGAACAUACCCCAGGUAGCCUCUUCUUUGAGAAGCACAAGGAAACACGUGGUGGUGGAACUGAACACAACCCACAGCCUGGAGCUAAACCCAACCUAAGCCAGCCAAGCUCUUCCAAGAUCACCCAAACUCAAGUUGACCUGUAGAUCCAUGGGCAAGGAAAGAAAUGCCUGCUGUUUUAAGAUCUCAAGUUUUAGGUUGAUUUGUUAUGCAGCAUUAUUGCAGUAAAAAUGAACUAAUACACUACCUAAUCCCAUUUUUCUAUUCAACAGUUAUUUGUUGGGUAGCUGAUAUGUGCCACACACUUAUAAUACAGGCUUCAGGGAUACCAUGGUUAAUAAAAUAAAGAGGGCAAAAGUAAAUGAACAAGAUAAUUUUGCAUUUUGACAAAUGCUAGGGAUAAGACAAGAUGAGUGAUGUGAUAAAUUGUGGUGGGGCUGUGGAAGAGGGCACAUUUAAUUUGGAUGGUCAGAGAGAGCCUCCUCUGGAAGGAAACAUUUGAAUGAGAUGAAUAACAAGGGCGAGGCUGCUAGAGGAUGAUCCAGCCACAGUGCAUUCCUGCAGAAGAGCCAGGGUGGAGGUCCUACGGUGGAAAUGAGUUUGGCUUAGGAACAGAUUCAAGUAUAUCUCAAAUAACUGAAAACUGUGAAAUUAACAUCAAAAGUAUUUGGAAGGCUAGAAGCUAGGCUGAUAUGUAGAAAUAAAACCCAGCCUCAGGAAGGAGCUGAGCCAGACUCAAAAACAAGGGGGGCAGCAAAGAGUGGUGGAUUCUGGGCUGGCCUUGCUGGCCACUCACUUGUCAGGGUGGGGUGGGUCAGCUGGCUUAAAUGUGCAGCUGGACAGACAGCUGCUGUUUCACUGCAUUGUCUCACUGCAUCUGUCUUCAUUAUCUGCAUCCUAUUUUGUGUUUCUUGGGCCAAUGUUUCCCAUCUCAGCUAGAGAUAU
rnacentral:lncRNA from 1 species